rnacentral:lncRNA from 1 species
GCAAGUUCUCUUUGUAAUAAAGGCUCUCUAAGUUAUCUUAAGCUCUCUGUUGUUUUUUUUACCAUCUUAGUCAGCAUCUUACCUAGCAUUCGAUGAGUUAUUUCUUUGAUCGAACAAAAUAACUUUUACCAUGCAAUUGGUUGAUAGGAAGAACAAGUCCGCGACAUAGUACAUGGGCAUGGCAAAGAAAAAUCGAAAUAAUAGAGAAUUCUUUUCAAUUCUGGUGGGUUUUCAUUUCUCUGGAAUGGCAUCCAUUUUAUUUAAAUAAAAGAGAACUUUCAGCUUAGGCCAGCUUUCAUUUCUUUUUGUGUCCCACAAUUAAUUAGCGAGUCUCACUUCUUUCACCAAUCACUAUCACACUUGAAAUAUUCGUGUACUUGUUGCCGAUAUUUUUGGUUGUAAAUUUCUAAUAACAAAAGUUGUUGACUUUUUCUUUUAAUUUUUUUUUUAUCUUCUGCAAUUUGUCCUUUCUUGAUUUUUUCUUAAUAUUUCU